AUUGAACGCUGGCGGAAUGCUUUACACAUGCAAGUCGAGCGGCAGCACGGACUUCGGUCUGGUGGCGAGUGGCGAACGGGUGAGUAACAUAUCGGAACGUAUCCAAUAAUGGGGGAUAACUAAUCGAAAGGUUGGCUAAUACCGCAUACGCCCUACGGGGGAAAGCUAGGGACCUUCGGGCCUGGCGUUAAUGGAGCGGCCGAUAUCUGAUUAGCUAGUUGGUGAGGUAAAGGCUCACCAAGGCGACGAUCAGUAGCUGGUCUGAGAGGACGACAAGCCACACUGGAACUGAGACACGGUCCAGACUCCUACGGGAGGCAGCAGUGGGGAAUUUUGGACAAUGGGCGCAAGCCUGAUCCAGCCAUUCCGCGUGAGUGAAGAAGGCCUUCGGGUUGUAAAGCUCUUUCGCAAGGGAAGAAAACUUAGCCACUAACAUUGGCUGAGGUUGACGGUACCUUGAUAAGAAGCACCGGCUAACUACGUGCCAGCCGCCGCGGUAAAAC
rnacentral:rRNA from 1 species